GCCGAUGUAGCUCAGCUGGCCAGAGCUGCUGAUUUGUAAUCAGUAGGUCGGGGGUUCGAGUCCCUCCAUCGGCUCCU
rnacentral:tRNA from 1 species